rnacentral:rRNA from 1 species
AGUGAACGCUGGCGGUAGGCCUAACACAUGCAAGUCGAACGGCAGCACAGUAAGAGCUUGCUCUUACGGGUGGCGAGUGGCGGACGGGUGAGGAAUACAUCGGAAUCUACUUUUUCGUGGGGGAUAACGUAGGGAAACUUACGCUAAUACCGCAUACGACCUACGGGUGAAAGCAGGGGAUCUUCGGACCUUGCGCGAUUGAAUGAGCCGAUGUCGGAUUAGCUAGUUGGCGGGGUAAAGGCCCACCAAGGCGACGAUCCGUAGCUGGUCUGAGAGGAUGAUCAGCCACACUGGAACUGAGACACGGUCCAGACUCCUACGGGAGGCAGCAGUGGGGAAUAUUUGACAAUGGGCGCAAGCCUGAUCCAGCCAUACCGCGUUGGUGAAGAAGGCCUUCGGGUUGUAAAGCCCUUUUGUUGGGAAAGAAAAGCAGCAGGUUAAUACCCCGCUGUUCUGACGGUACCCAAAGAAUAAGCACCGGCUAACUUCGUG